CCUGUCUCGCAACAUGGGAGGAUAAAUUCAUUAACCAAAAUCUCUCCCAAAAUCCAGGAGGGCCAGAUGCGAGGUGCUGGUCCCGACCAGCUGGUGCCAGGAACGGGGCAGCGCCGAGGCCAGGAGGGCAGGCCUGGCUCCGCCACGUCCCCCCGGCCUGGGCAGCGCAGCACCGCGGCGGUGCUGCUCCUCUGCGUUGCAGCUGCAGAGCUACGAGGAAGGGAGGUGACUGGGGCUUUCCUGCCAGGUAGCAGCAGUGGAAUUCUGCCAGCUGUCACCCCGGUUUCCUUCAGCCACCUCCUAUCUGAGCUCUGCACAGAGCCAGCUUCGCUGCAGGUGGUCUCUGGGGAACGUGACUCUGGGCCAUACUGAUCUUAAGUUGAUCAUCACUCAUUUGAAGGCAAGGUUUUUCAGAUAUGGGAUAGUAUAUUUUAAAAGCAUGGUGGCAUAGUAAAGUGUGCUCACCAACGUACCUGAGGCAAUCCAGGGUCUGAUGCAAGUGAUCAUUGAGAUGGAAAUGCUCUGGAACUGAGAUGGCUCAUGAGUUUUCUCCACUGACGAAAAGACAGCAUCUUAAAUAAGAGUUCUUCAGACCUGGUUAGCAUACACUGCCUUUAUUCUUUGGUUUCUCUGACACCAGAAAUAAUUUGUGGACAAGCCAUGGUUUUACAAGGUUGGUAUUAGAGAAGGGCCCCUUCCUUCUUUCUGUAAAAGGCAAGUUUACAAAACGCUUUUUUAAAAUAGUUUUUCUGAUGUGAAAAAAGCUUUUCUUAUCCAAUUUAUUUCUAAACUUUCAGGCUUUGGGAUUUACCAAUGCUUCUGAAAAUGCAGUCUCUGAGGCUACUGUUAACUCUCUUAUCUCCACCAAUUAUGUUUUAAAGUAACUUACUGCAACACCUUCUUUCCAAAUGGCAAAAUUCCAGCCUCCAAUGCUUA